rnacentral:rRNA from 1 species
GCUAUACUCGGGCGGGGAGCUUGGGUAAGACGAGGGGUGCGAACGUUGGUCGGGAUUAGUGGGCGUGAAGCGGACGGAGGCGGCCUUGUAAGUUGGAGGGGAAAUCCCUCGGCUUAACCGAGGACGGGCAUCCGAAACUGUGAGGCUCGAGUAUGGAAGAGGGUCGCAGAAUUCCCGGUGUAGAGGUGAAAUUCGUAGAUAUCGGGAGGAAUACCAGUGGCGAAGGCGGCGACCUGGGCCAAUACUGACGCUGAGGUGCGAAAGCGUGGGGAGCAAACAGGAUUAGAUACCCCAGUAGUC